GAUGAACGCUGGCGGCGUGCUUAACACAUGCAAGUCGAACGAGCGAGAGAGAGCUUGCUUUCUCAAGCGAGUGGCGAACGGGUGAGUAACGCGUGAGGAACCUGCCUCAAAGAGGGGGACAACAGUUGGAAACGACUGCUAAUACCGCAUAAGCCCACAGGUCGGCAUCGACCAGAGGGAAAAGGAGCAAUCCGCUUUGAGAUGGCCUCGCGUCCGAUUAGCUAGUUGGUGAGGUAACGGCCCACCAAGGCGACGAUCGGUAGCCGGACUGAGAGGUUGAACGGCCACAUUGGGACUGAGACACGGCCCAG
rnacentral:rRNA from 1 species